rnacentral:pre_miRNA from 1 species
GGCUACAAUAAAAUGCCACGGCUAAAUAGGGGGUGUUCGCUAGAAUGUCAUCGUGGACGGUAUUUCCCUUGGAUCUUCUUCUUCCUCCAACACCUGCCAAUUCCCUCCAUGUCAUGUCGUCGUCCCAUGGCAGAGCGCUCCAACCUGGCGCAUCCGAUGAAGUAGCCGUCGCUGCAUAUGCAUUGGUUACAGCAGCACCAGCACUACAGGAUGCCAUCGCCGCCGAGCACGAAUGUGAAGCAGAGCUCCUUGUCUUGGCAGUCAGGCACUGGUGGUGGGCAUCAUGAGCUGCUGCUGGAGCCAACGAUGGCAUGACAUGGAGGGGAAUGACCAGCACCCAACGUCGAGGGAGGAAGAGAAGAUCCAAGGGCAAUAUUGUCCAUGAUGGCAUUCUAGCGAACACCCCUCGUUCGACCGUGGCAUUUUAUAGAAGCC